rnacentral:lncRNA from 10 species
CUCCAUGGCUCAAGCGAUUCUCCUGCCUUAGCCUCCCAAGUAGCUGGGACUACAGGCACAUGCCGCUGCGCCUGGCUAAUUUUUUGUAUUUUUAUUUUUUUUCUUUUUUGUAGAUACAGGAUUUCACCAUGUUGACCAGGCUGGUCUCGAACUUCUGAGCUCAAGCAAUCCUCCUGCCUCAGCCUCCCAAAGGGCUAGGAUUACAGGCGUGAGCCACCACGCCUGGCCUGGGAAAAUGAAGAUACCAAAGUUCAGAGAUGAUUAGGAAUUUUCCAAGAUCUCACAGCUCAGAAGUGACGGAGCCAGACUUUAAACCCAGGCAAACUGCUUCCGGGUCCCUGCUCUUCCUGCUCCGGCUGUAGCGUGAGACAUGAUGUUUGGAGCUGCAGCAGUCAUCUUGCAACCAUGAGGCAACAAGCUAAGGACAAAAAGCCCACAUAGCCAAGGAUGGUAAAGAUGGAAGAGGGAAAGUGCUUGGGUCUUUGUCAACAUCCCUGCGCAUCUGACUAAGCUGCAACCACUUCUCUCCAGACGUGUGGCGAUGCCAGAGCAUUCUACUUUCUCAUCGCUUGAGCACUGUUGUUAGGUUGUCUGUUACAUGUUGCCCAACGCGUCCUAACUGAGGGAAGUGCCUGCUAUGUGCCAAGCACACAUCUGCCUCAUAGGAUCAUAGCCAUUUGUCCAUACUUCAUCUUCCCUUUUAGACUCUGGAAUCCUAAAGGUGGAGAUUAUGUCUGGGUCACAUCCCAGUCAUCACAUGGGGAUGGGACAGUGUCCCAUAGUGAAACCCAAUCACCAUGACUUUGACAAUAUGAAGGAAGGAAGGAAGGAAGGAAGGAAGGAAGGAAGGAAGGAAGGAAGGAAGGAAGGAAGGAAAGAGCAAUUAACAAAUAAAUGAUCAUGGUGAAUGUGGAAAUGCUUUGUACCCUGUAAAGUACUGAGCCCAAAGGCAGGCUGAGACUCUGGCAGGGGGACACAGACACGGGAUAGAAGGAGGUACAGGCGUAAGGAGCAGAGAUCAGAGAAAAAGCGGCAGCUCCUCCCACCCCCACUUCAGCAGGGGUGAGGGCGCAGUUAUCCUCCCAGAUGCUCCUCCUGCUCACACAGACUUCAGGUCUGGAAAAUCCCACCCACUCCCUCAUGCCUCUUCUCCUUUACUUGUUGACUUUGACAGCAAAUCACCUCCCUUCCUUCCCUAAACAGACAGUGAAAGGCAAAGCUUUGUGCUCUGUCAUUUUCCCCCUAAAAAAUUGUAUGAGAAACCAAAUGGUUAUCAUUAUGCCGGCUGCAAUCUGUUGCAUUAUUUUUUAAAGGUGGAGGAGGGGUCGGUACCAGGAGAGAAAGCAGCAGGGAGAAAUGGAAAGAAACUCUUUAGGGCAAAUGGCUUUAAAAUUUCAGCUCCAGGUCUCACAGGGAGACUGGAUUAAAGGAUCAUUUCAAAUGAAUUUUGCCAUCAGAGUGAGAGAUCUGUCCUCCCAAAAUGCUCUACUUUGACAGUUGGCUUCAAGGGGCUUGACAGAUUUUAUUUCUCCAGCAGACAAGAGAGAUCAAGGUAUUAAACAAAACAUAUUCCACCCUAAGAACUCUGUUACAUGCUUAACUUAAUGGAAGUGAGAUCUUGCCAAAACUGCGAAGUCAUUUUCUUCCCCCAGGAAAAUUGCUUGUGGUCGGGGAGUUGGCAGGUAGUCAGGGGCAGAGGUGUAGGUGGAAGAGUUCCUGCUUGAGACCUCCUGGGUCUGCCCUCCUGCCCUCCAGGUCGCCCUGGGGAAGCCGGCAAUGGAGAGUCCUGACAGUCCAGCCUCUACCUGCUCCUUCCCUCCCGGCCUUGGUUUCUCCUCUAUCACGGGGGAUGGUGCCCUUUCCCGUAGAAGUUGCAAUUUCGCCAGAUCCAGAUUUCCUGUGUCAUCACAUUGUAUCCCUGCAACCACCCUCAAGCACCAGAAAGAUUCUAGGGUUGAGCCGGGUGCAGUGGCUCACGCCUGUAAUCCCAGAACUUUGGGAAACCAAGGCAGGUGGAUCACUUGAGGUCAGGGGUUCGAGACCAGCCUAGCCAAAAUGGUGAAACCCCAUCUCUACUAAAAAUUCAAAAAUUAGAUGGGGGUGGUGGUGAGCACCUGUAGUCCCAGCUACUGGGGAGGCUGAGGCAGGAGAAUCACUUGAAUCCAGAGGGCAGAGGUUGCAGUGAGCCAAGAUUGUACCAUUGCACUCCAACCUGAGUGACAGAGAAACUUUGUCUCAAAAAAUAAAAAAUAAAGAAUCUGGGGUUGGCCUUAGUCACCCUCCCACUCUGACCCUCAGAGUCCUCCCCUGUAAAAACAACAGACCUGAUGAGAUGUACCUCCUGGAGGGGCUGUAGGUUCUAGGAACCCACAGGUGAGAGCCACAGGCAGAAAAGCACAAGGGUAUGAGGACACAGAUGCAGCACACACAGUAGGCCUUCAGCUGUGGCAGUGGUCCCCAGGAUGCCAGAUGGGCUGGGAGGACAGCAGGGGCUUUGGAGACAAUCCGGGAGGAGGUGUUCAUGGCAAACAGAGGCAUCCAAUGAACAGUCAUGCUCGUACUGUCAUUGUACAGGGUGAAAACGCCACCCCUGAGACAGACACCACAGGUUCAAAUCCUGGAUCCAUUGUAACUGAGUGUCUCAGCCUUGAAAUGCAUUUUGAACUUAUUUUUUCCUGUCCUUCUUCAUCUCAGAAUGUAGCCUUGUGCUUUAGAACAUUUGUUUCUUCCCUACCCACCAGGUACUCCCAUGAACAGUGCUCCUUAUCUCAUUAUGUGCUGGCUUAGAAAUUCCAGGGGCUAAUUUUGAAACAAACCAGGCUUGCAGAUCCAGCUAUGAAAUCAGCUUGCUUAGUGGGCUUACAAACAAGGAGACCACCACCAAUAGGCAGAAGUCAAGAUGAUGCCAACUGGACCUCCAGGUGCUUGACUACUCAAGAAAGCCUUUGGAGCAAGACCUGCAGACCUGCACCUUCCUGCACCCCUCCCACCUGUUUCCUGUACCAUGUCUCCCUUCUGAAACCAUCUCACUCAGCCCAGAAAGUUGGACUGGUCUUUUAAAAGCAUGAGUCUGGCCAUUCCCCAAUUGCUAGCUUCCAAUUAAUAAAACUGUUUUCCUUUCGCUGCGCCUUGUUUCUCAUGUUUUCAACCUCUGAAUAGGGAGCAGCUGAACUUGAGCUGGUGACACCAUCGCUGACUUGCUCUGGGCCAUUGGGCAGGUCCUGUUCUCUCCCUGUGCUUCAGCUUCCCCAUCCGUAAUCCAAGGAUGAUAAUUAUAACAGCCUUACAGGCAAGACACAGGUGAUACUCACUAAGGGGUAAUUAAGAUGGUAAUGACUAUGAGGAUGGCAAAGAUGAUGACUGACAACAGUCAGGAUGAU